AUUGAACGCUGGCGGCAGGCCUAACACAUGCAAGUCGAACGAGUGGCGGACGGGUGAGUAAUGUCUGGGAAACUGCCCGAUGGAGGGGGAUAACUACUGGAAACGGUAGCUAAUACCGCAUACCAUCGGAUGUGCCCAGAUGGGAUUAGCUAGUAGGUGGGGUAAUGGCUCACCUAGGCGACGAUCCCUAGCUGGUCUGAGAGGAUGACCAGCCAAACGGGAACGGAGACAGGGUCCAGACACCUACGGUAGGCAGCAGUGGGCAAUAUUUGACAAUGGGCGCAGGCCUGAUGCAGCCUUGCCGCUUGUAGGAAGAGGGCUUUCGUGUUGUAAAGUACUUUCAGCGAGGAGGCGUUACUCGCAGAAGAAGCACCGGCUAACUCCGUGCCAGCCGCCGCGGUAAGUC
rnacentral:rRNA from 1 species